rnacentral:rRNA from 1 species
AUGAGGACCUGUCUUCUUCAGCGCUAUGAGCCCUCUGGUGAUGCCUUAUACCUUUCUGUGGUUCGUCAGGAGCAUGCUCUUCAGCAGGGUGACUCUACUGUUGAUGACUUUUAUGCACAUAGUUCUGCUAUCUGGCGCCAGCUUGAUUCUCUCCGCAGUGCUGGUUGUCGUACUUGCCCCUGCUGCCAGGCUGUCCAGGCCGAUUUGGAGUUUCAUCGCGUCUACGAGUUCCUGUCUCGGCUUCGUAAGGAGUUUGAGCCCCGGCGUGCUCAGUUGCUUGCUCGUGGCCGUAUUUCUCUCAUGGAGGCGCUUUCAGAGAUUCGUGCUGAGGAGACUCGCCUACGUGGUGCUGGUUUGCUGGAGGUUCCCUCUGUGCUCGCUACUCGGGUUUCUUCCACUCCGCCGGCUGCACCGCCCCAUUCUCGCUCGAGUGCUCCGCCGCUCUUGCCCACUCCUUCUGGAGGCUCAGGUCGCCCCCGUUCACAUUGUGACUACUGCAACAAUGAUGGUCAUAUUGAGUCCCAGUGCUACACCAAGCGGAAACACCUGCGCAAGGCGCGACCAUCCUCCUCAGGGACUUCGUCA